AUUUGCUUCCUUCUGCACCUGUGAAUACCAAGCAGAGCAAAAAACACCAUGGUCUAGGCUUAAUCAGGGAACAAACUAUAUCAAAACUGUUAAGUGAAUUUACAAAGUCCAGUCAAAGUAAAAGAUCACAGUUAGUUUUAGUGAAGAGGUUUUGUCCUGGAACAAGGAUCUUAUUAGGGAGAAUUAUUCUGAGUUGUGAUAAGGUUGAAGAUCUGAAUCAGAUACAGUUUCACAAAGGCUGUCUUCUUUAUAGUAUAACUGAGUCUUCCAUCCAUCUCUGAUCAGAAAUGACUGACCUGCACACCCUAACCGUUCACAACAAUUAAGACAUAAACCUGCUGCAGGAAAACAGUGCAUAUCCACGUGGCAUCCAAGCAAUGAUGAACCAGAUUUUUCCUUCAACGAGCUUUAGAGUUAUGUGACCAUUGUAAUCCUAUGUUCCUCUAAACAUUGACUGACACAGCCCAGUUUGGCAAUCUAAUGGGAAUUUUGCCUCAAUAGGGACUGCAGAAAUAGGCUUAAAAGGUUCCAGUCCCUCAGUAAGCAAGAGUCAAAGCUUGUGAAACCAGGGGUGUAAGCCAUACAGGAAAUUAUGAGGUAAUAGGUAUAGCUGAGAUGUAAGAUAUGCCUGUAGUGGGGCUCAGAACAGAAGUAAUGAGCGUGAUUGGAGUAAGCUGGGGUAAGGGAACAUGUGGACUGGCCUGCAGGAAAAGGUGACAGGAGAUGCAUUAGCCAAACAACAGGAGGCAUGUUAAGUGAGACAAUAUAUGCGAGCAAGAACAUAAAGUGAGGACUAAGCUGUCCCAGGCUGCUGAAACUGAGCAAGGGAUCAGAGCACAUGCUGAUCUGGGCAGAAAUUCAGAGCUCCCACACGUUCCCCCCCACAAGACAUGCCGGGUGGUAGGAGAAUGUUCAACCCUUCAAAGAGAAAUCAAGCAACGUGGAGGCAUGAGCAGCCUCAGACACCUGUGGAUUUGCAAACCCACUGAGAUGCUAGCUGGAGUGGGAAAAGCAGAAUCUGAGGCCCGUCUCGGUACACACUGACCUACCUGUUCUCAUCGGGGCAGAUCCAGAACAGUCAUUUGCUAGCACUGUAGCUGGAUGGCUGAAGGUAAAAACAUAACUCUCUCUGUCCCACUCCCACACACAUCCAGAGGACUGUUCAUGCUUACUCCUAUAUAGUACCUGAUAGGGUCAUACAUGCUCAGAGCUGCCUGCUGUGUCAGAUCCCCAGAGACCACACUACCCAUGCAACUCACUCCAUGGCUGCACUGUAAAUUGAGGAAGCGGUGAGGAAAAGUGUUGUGGGCAAAAUUCUCAGUGGACAAAACCUGGCAUAGUGCAGAUGAAUUACAUGAAAUCAUGCCAAUUUAUAUUGGCUCAGGAUCUGGCCCCAUAUCAAGACAACACCUGAAGGCUAGCAACCAGAAAUGCACUGAAGCCUAAUAGUAGGGUGCAUCCUAACUUAAAGCAAAGCAGGCAUUUUAGGUGUGAAAGCAGAAGGUAAAUGCAUAUGUAGGGUAAACGCUCAUUCAGGGAAAAACUUGUUAACGCAUGCAGGGGAUCAGGUAGUGAGCUGUUGUGCCAAUGGUUCACUACUGGGGAAUCUCCUCUGUGAGCCACUAGUUGCUUGACACACGAAUACCACCACCACCACCACACCAUUGGAUUCAGGAAUUGACUUUCACACUCUUGCAUCCUGUUAUUUAAUCCGGGCUGAAUGGCCUCCAGAGAACUCGCUUCCACAUCCACCUUAGGAAUCUGACAAGCUCUACUUUACAGCCAAGGGAUGCCACACACUCAUUUCCUGAAUUGAACUGAAUGCUGGGUUUUGGUUUAUUUUUAACAGGAGGAGUCAAAACUUGUAUUUUUGUACUAAGCUGCUGUAAUAAAUGGAGUUUACAGGCCA